GCCAUAGGUAAUGAUUCUUAUGAUGGAUCUGGGCAAAGUAAACUGAAAACCUUUUGGAAAGGAUUCAACAUUCUAGAUGCUAUUCAGAACAUUUGUGAUUCAUGGGAAAAGGCAAAAUAUCUACAUC